UCCAGACACUGUUAAAACGAUUUAAUACAGCCAGUCUGAGCAUGUCUGUUGCCACAGUGAGGAUGAUUAUAAGCAAUGGGCUGGCUGAAGAAAUUUAGAAUUGGAUUGCACGUGAAGAUGGGGAGCAGGAAGGGGAAAGACCCCAGUGUACACAGCCCUGUGCACCUCCCUGGGGUAUCAAGAGAAACUCCCAUGGAAGAAUUCCAUUCAAGGAUACUUACUGUUUCUUCCCAGAU